CGUUCAUUUGAUAAGUCAAUGGCUCUUGAUCUAAACUAUUUCACUCUUGUCAAGGGCACGUGAUGGACAAGAUAUGGGGUUUGUCUACUGCAAAUUUGUAGCAUUUCUUCUUCUCUUCCUGCUCUUUUUCUGUUUCGAUUUUGGGGUUGCGGUAGAUAUCAUUACAUCAUCUCAGUUUAUCAAAGAUCCUGAAGCUAUAGUAACUGCUAGCAACAUUUUCAAACUGGGAUUUUUCAGUCCUGUUAAUUCCACAAAUCGUUAUGUUGGAAUAUGGUACAAUGAUAUGCCUUCAGUGACUACAGUAUGGGUAGCUAAUAGAAACAAGCCACAUGUGGUCAAAGGACACCACUAGAAUGCACAGAAACACAAAAUAUAAGAGAAGUGAACCCAAAAGAUGGGUUCUUGAAGCUUGAGAUGAUCAAAGUACCAGACUUUGCAGAGUGGUCAUCUCUGUAUUCAGAACUAGAAUGCAGAAACGAAUGCUUAAGUAAUCGUUCCUGUAUAGCUUAUUCAUAUUACAAGGGUAUUGGCUGCAUGUUUAGGACCAGAAGCUUAAUUGAUAUACAGAAGUUUUCCUUUGGUGGGGCAGAUCUUUACCUUCGCUUAGCAUAUUCAGAACUUGAUAAAAGGAAAAGCAAGAAGAUAGUUAUCAGAAUAAUAGUGAUUUUCGGAACAAUUGCCUUUUCAAUCUGUGCAUUUCUUUCAUGGAGGUGCAUGGUUAAACAUGGAUAAAGGAAGAGGAAGAGCAAAAGGAACAGUGGGGGCAAAGUUAAACUCCAGGAACUACCAGCUGUAUUCAGUUUACAAUAUAUGAAGGAGGAGGAUCGCAUUCACUCAACUCAACUCCCAUUAUUCAUUGCUGCCCUUACAGCCGCUGCUGCCCUUCUCUCUUUCUCUCUUAUCACAUUUUCUCUCUAUUCUGCUUGUCUCUAUUUAUAGGCUUUAAUAGCAGCUCCUCCUGCUCUUUUGUCAACAAUGGUAGCCAUUUUUUAGGUGUAACGUCUUUGACAAUCUCAAGCUGCCAUCAAUAACCCACCAUUGUAGCCUCUUUCUUUGACAAUGGCAGUCAUUCUCUUCCAGAGGAUGUGCUGCAAAUGCUGCCACAUAAGUGACAAUAUCCUAACACGUACUAUCUGAUCCAUGUUUUCAAGAUGAAAUUUUUAGAAGCAUGCAUAUAGGUCUAUUGUGUGUUCAAGAGUUUCCAAAAGAUAGGCCAGCUGUGCCUACAAUCAUUUCAAUGCUUCACAGCGAAAUUGCGGAUCUUCCUGCUCCCAAGAAACGUGCACUUGGUUUCGAUAUGGACUCCCUUCAAUGGAGCCAAACGAUAUUUUCUAAUGACAUGUCAAUUACUGUAUUGGAGGGCGAUAGGUAACGAGUUUGAGGCAAUAUUUUUCUGUUACAUGUAAAUCUAGAUCAUUAUGUAAAAUAUCAAAAUGUUAAAUGCUUCCCUUUUGGAUCAGUUUGAGCAUCCACUGAUGAGUUAAUUGACUUGAUCUUCUACUACGAUGAAGCCUGCAUUUACUGAGAGGCAAAUUCGUCGAUAAAUAGACCAUUCAAUAGAAGAAACAUUAAAAACUUGCUGUUAACAUUACAGAAGGCCAAUAGACUGGAGUUCCAGAUCAAAACUUGAGUUCCUUAGUUCAUACAUUAUCAUAGUUGUUGAAUAAAGAAGGAUAAACACUGUAGCAUAUUGAUAGGAUCUUACACAAUUUGAGUAAAGGACU